UAGGAUAGAGGCCUACCAUGGUUUUAACGGGUAACGGGGAAUUAGGGUUCGAUUCCGGAGAGGGAGCCUGAGAAACGGCUACCACAUCCAAGGAAGGCAGCAGGCGCGCAAAUUACCCAAUCCCAACACGGGGAGGUAGUGACAAUAAAUAACAAUAUGGGGCCCUUACGGGUUUCGUAAUUGGAAUGAGUACAAUUUAAAUCUCUUAACGAGGAACAAUUGGAGGGCAAGUCUGGUGCCAGCAGCCGCGGUAAUUCCAGCUCCAAUAGCGUAUAUUAAAGUUGUUGCAGUUAAAAAGCUCGUAGUUGAACUUCGGGGUUUACCCAUUGGUCAGGCUUAAUUGUCUGUACUGGUGAGAUAAAUCUCUACCUUCUGAGGAACUUUCAUGUCAUUAAUUUGGUGUGAUUGGAAAUCAGGACUGUUACUUUGAAAAAAUUAGAGUGUUUAAAGCAGGCUAACGUCUGAAUACAUUAGCAUGGAAUAAUGAAAUAGGACGGAUUGAUUCUAUUUCGUUGGUUUCUAGGAUCACCGUAAUGAUUAAUAGGGAUAGUUGGGGGCAUUAGUAUUCAAUUGUCAGAGGUGAAAUUCUUGGAUUUAUUGAAGACUAACUACUGCGAAAGCAUUUGCCAAGGAUGUUUUCAUUAAUCAAGAACGAAAGUUAGGGGAUCGGAGACGAUCAGAUACCGUCGUAGUCUUAACCAUAAACUAUGCCGACUAGGGAUCGGACGAA
rnacentral:rRNA from 1 species